rnacentral:tRNA from 1 species
GGGCGAUUAGCUCAGCUGGCAGAGCAUCAGUUUUACACACUGGGGGUCGUAGGUUCGAAUCCUGCAUCGCCCA